CCGGGGUGACAGCGCUGUCCCCUCCCCGCAGUGCCACCCUCGCCCGAGCUGGUCAAGCGCGUCAGGGACCUGUACCACAAGCGGCUGCCGGACGUCCGGUUCCUCAUCCCCGUCCUCAACGGGCUGGAGAAGAAAGAGGUGAUUCAGGCGCUGCCCAAACUCAUCAAACUCAACCCCAUCGUGGUCAAGGAGGUCUUCAACCGCCUGCUGGGGACACAGCACGGUGACGGCGCCUCGGCCGUGUCCCCCCUGAACCCCGGGGAGCUCCUGAUCGCCCUGCACAACAUCGACUCCUCCAAGUGUGACAUGAAAUCCAUCAUCAAAGCCACCAACCUGUGCUUCGCGGAGCGGAACGUGUACACCUCGGAGGUGCUGGCGGUGGUGAUGCAGCAGCUGAUGGAGCAGAGCCCGCUGCCCAUGCUGCUGAUGCGCACGGUGAUCCAGGCGCUGACCAUGUACCCCCGCCUGGGGGGCUUCGUCAUGAACAUCCUGUCCAGGCUCAUCAUGGAACAGGUUCUGUCAUGAACAUCCUGUCCA